UAUGUUGUGUUUACUUCAAAAAAGGAACUUUUUUAUGUUACGCUAUUAUAUCUCUUUGAUACGCGGAUCAUUUGAUCAAUUUCUGUGUACUUCAUCUGUAAAUACUCUGAUCAGUUUCUAUCCUCAUUUUGUAAAUAGAAUCAUGAAACUCUCUGACUUGUGUUGUACAAAAAUAAACUAAUUUCAAAACGAAAGCAGAGAUCCGAAUCAAAACGCCCAAUUAUAAUGCAAACUGAAUUGACAGACAUUGUCAACAAUACUUGCUAUUAAAAUAAAGGUUUUAUGAAAAAUUUACAAAUGUCGUUAGAAAAUAGAAAAUUUGUUACUCACUCAUACAUUAUUGAAAAGAUAGCACUUAAAAGUUUUAUGUGAAAGAAGCAACUACCUUAUCAUUUGUUGAGUUCCAAGAUUGUGUUACCACGAACCUGAUGAAAUGCUAAUGAGAAAAGUCGAUAAAUCAUCACAUCUUUCGGAAUAAAAGUGGCAAGAACAAGAAAAGCUUGAAUUUUGAAAGACUCACAAUCCAAACUUCAACAUGCAACAUAUCUGGAUUGAAUCGAGAAUAAUGAAAUAAUAAUUUCCUCAAUACAUCUGCUUAGAAAUUUUUAUCCGUGCUAUAAUUUUGAUCAUUUAUUAGCGUAUAUGUGUGAAAAUUGUUCUCACAUACAAAAAAGAGUAAUUUAUGAUCCAUGUUAUAAAAUUGUCUUCCUAAAAUUACAUUCAAAGUUUUCCCUUUUGAUUCACCUAAUGAAAAAAAAACGCAUAAUUUUUGUCAUAUGUGGUCAAAGGCAUUUAAAUUAUAUUCGUCCCGAAAAUUUUACUAUCAAACUGGAAUUAAAGAUAUGCCUCAUGCUCCUGAUAUGCAGAAAGAAGUGUUUUAAAAACGGCAUUUUCUCAUUUAACAGUUACAGUGGAGAAACGAUAUGCUUGCAAAUUUUGUGAUAUUUUCUCAGCUUCCGAAUUUAAAGAAACGAUUACUGGUGCAUACUAAACAGAAAGCACAUACGUGUGACAUUUGUAAUAAAGCAUUUUUUAUUUUCAACAGUCACAUUUAAAAGUUCAUUUAAUAUCGACUACGAAUGGGGAAUCCAAAGCUUGGAACUUUUGCAAUAAAGUCUUUUGUAUGAUUUCCAAUUUCGAAAGACAUUUACGGACGCAUAUAUAAGAGGAAAUGUUUAAAUGCGAGUUUUGCACGAAAGCCUUUUUACAUAACUGUAAUUUAAAAGUACAUUUACGUACUCAUACUGGGGAGAAACCGUAUACAUGUGAUAUUUGUAACAAAGCCUUUUCGGAAGCUUGGAAUUUAAAAAAACAUAUACAUAUGCAUACUGGAGAGAAAUCGUAUGCAUGUGAAUUUUGCAACAAACUCCUUUCAAAUAAUGGGAGUUUAAAAAAACAUUUACUUACGCAUACUGGAGAGAAACCGUAUGCAUGUGAAUUUUGUAACAAACUUUUUUCAGUUAAGGA